UUAGUGAAAUACACAAGUAUAUAUUUAAUUAUUAAAAUGACAUUGCUAAUUUCAUUCGAAUAAAACUGUUCCAAUACUCACAAGGUGAAUGGAUGUUUUGCUGCCCUUUUAAGUCUAGCAAAGCGGUUCCUUCAGUUUCAGACUUAAAUGCAGAAUUGGCCAGAAUUUCUGCACGCUGUGCGCCUUUUUCAGGUGGUAAUGACUGCGUCUUAGAUCAUAACACUCCUCACGUCCACAAAGUCACGCGCAGCUGGAUGAUAUAAAUAGUCGCCGAGCAUGUCCUUGGUCCUGAUGCAAUGUUCUGGUCAAAUGACUCGCGCGACAUGACCGCUGCCUUCCCAACGGCCAGGCUGUGGCAAGGAGAUCGGAAAAUAAGAGGCUCGCCAUUCUUUUAAGCAAAUAACCUUAAAUCGAGCCGUUUCACGUGCUUAAGCAGUUUCUAUCGAUCGAAAAAUAGAGAUGGAUACACACGUCCACUAAUCGCGGAAAUAUCGAUAAAUAUCGAACACACAUCGAUAACAGUCGCAAUAUACAUCCAACUCGCUUGGCAAACGAAGCGAUGAGUAUUCAUUCAGACUAAUCGAUAGCAAUUACAGGAGCAGCAACAUUUCGUCUAAAAGGACCAAUAAGGAAUCUUUAGAUUAGGCAAAAGUCAAAAUGGAAACUAUCAAUUUGUAGCCGCAACUUAAUUAGCUGAUUGCUUACUGACUGCCAAAAAACAAAGCGUCAACUCCCCCAUUCAAUGAAUUAUUCAAUAGAAGAGUAAAUGCAUGGUCAAGAGCAAAAUAAAAAAAGGAAUAAAUGUU
rnacentral:sRNA from 1 species